rnacentral:rRNA from 1 species
GACGAAUGCUGGCGGCGUGCCUAAUACAUGCAAGUCGAACGAACUCUGGUAUUGAUUGGUGCUUGCAUCAUGAUUUACAUUUGAGUGAGUGGCGAACUGGUGAGUAACACGUGGGAAACCUGCCCAGAAGCGGGGGAUAACACCUGGAAACAGAUGCUAAUACCGCAUAACAACUUGGACCGCAUGGUCCGAGUUUGAAAGAUGGCCUCGGCUAUCACUUUUGGAUGGUCCCGCGGCGUAUUAGCUAGAUGGUGAGGUAACGGCUCACCAUGGCAAUGAUACGUAGCCGACCUGAGAGGGUAAUCGGCCACAUUGGGACUGAGACACGGCCCAAACUCCUACGGGAGGCAGCAGUAGGGAAUCUUCCACAAUGGACGAAAGUCUGAUGGAGCAACGCCGCGUGAGUGAAGAAGGGUUUCGGCUCGUAAAACUCUGUUGUUAAAGAAGAACAUAUCUGAGAGUAACUGUUCAGGUAUUGACGGUAUUUAACCAGAAAGCCACGGCUAACUACGUGCCAGCAGCCGCGGUAAUACGUAGGUGGCAAGCGUUGUCCGGAUUUAUUGGGCGUAAAGCGAGCGCAGGCGGUUUUUUAAGUCUGAUGUGAAAGCCUUCGGCUCAACCGAAGAAGUGCAUCGGAAACUGGGAAACUUGAGUGCAGAAGAGGACAGUGGAACUCCAUGUGUAGCGGUGAAAUGCGUAGAUAUAUGGAAGAACACCAGUGGCGAAGGCGGCUGUCUGGUCUGUAACUGACGCUGAGGCUCGAAAGUAUGGGUAGCAAACAGGAUUAGAUACCCUGGUAGUCCAUACCGUAAACGAUGAAUGCUAAGUGUUGGAGGGUUUCCGCCCUUCAGUGCUGCAGCUAACGCAUUAAGCAUUCCGCCUGGGGAGUACGGCCGCAAGGCUGAAACUCAAAGGAAUUGACGGGGGCCCGCACAAGCGGUGGAGCAUGUGGUUUAAUUCGAAGCUACGCGAAGAACCUUACCAGGUCUUGACAUACUAUGCAAAUCUAAGAGAUUAGACGUUCCCUUCGGGGACAUGGAUACAGGUGGUGCAUGGUUGUUGUCAGCUCGUGUCGUGAGAUGUUGGGUUAAGUCCCGCAACGAGCGCAACCCUUAUUAUCAGUUGCCAGCAUUAAGUUGGGCACUCUGGUGAGACUGCCGGUGACAAACCGGAGGAAGGUGGGGAUGACGUCAAAUCAUCAUGCCCCUUAUGACCUGGGCUACACACGUGCUACAAUGGAUGGUACAACGAGUUGCGAACUCGCGAGAGUAAGCUAAUCUCUUAAAGCCAUUCUCAGUUCGGAUUGUAGGCUGCAACUCGCCUACAUGAAGUCGGAAUCGCUAGUAAUCGCGGAUCAGCAUGCCGCGGUGAAUACGUUCCCGGGCCU